GGUGGGAUGCCAGAGUGGCCGAAUGGGCCGCACUCGAAAUGCGGUAUACCCGCAAGGGUAUCGAAGGUUCGAAUCCUUCUCCCACCG
rnacentral:tRNA from 3 species